GACGAACGCUGGCGGUCUGCUUAACACAUGCAAGUCGAACGGGCUCUUUCGGGAGCUAGUGGCGGACGGGUGAGUAACGCGUGAGAAUCUGCCCUUUGGAGGGGGAUAACGGUUGGAAACGACCGCUAAUACCCCAUGUGCCGAGAGAUAAAAAGUAAUUCGCCAAGGGAUGGGCUCGCGUCGGAUUAGCUAGUUGGUGGGGUAAGAGCCCACCAAGGCGACGGUCCGUAGCUGGUCUGAGAGGAUGACCAGCCACACUGGGACUGAGACACGGCCCAGACUCCUACGGGAGGCAGCAGUGGGGAAUAUUCCGCAAUGGGCGCAAGCCUGACGGAGCAAGACCGCGUGAGGGAAGACGGUCUGUGGAUUGUAAACCUCUUUUGACAGGGAAGAAGUACUGACGGUACCUGUCGAAUCAGCCACGGCUAACUCCGUG
rnacentral:rRNA from 1 species